GCUUCUUUUGUUGGAUACGUGCAAUUCAAGCAACUCCAUCCACGUAGCGUUCACUCUAUUUGUUCCCAUUUUUAGUUAUCCCUCUCUGCUUGGUCGAUACAUCAUUUGACGACUCCAAGGACACAAAAUUGGCUCGAGUACUAAAAGCACUUGAUUGGAUCAAGAUAUCACUAUGGAAUCUUGCCACAAUACCAGCACCUUUCAUCAAAAGAAGUGGAGAAUCGAAGUUGAGGCACUAUUACUCGCUUGAGUUUGCAAAACAAGCUCUUACCGAGAUAAAGAGUGGUACAAGUACUCCCGAAAUACUCGAGUAUAUAUUGACUUCAGGCGUUGUCCUUGAUGCUGCAUCUCGCGGAGUCUUUGAAAUUGUGGAUUUAUGUCUUAAAUAUUUUCCGGAGUUGAUGUGGGAUACCAAUUUCGCGAAAAAACUGAUCAUAAAAGUUGUGGAGGGACGGCAUAUUAAGUUGUUUAGACU